rnacentral:rRNA from 1 species
UACGGAAGGUCCGGGCGUAUCCGGAUUUAUUGGGUUUAAAGGGAGCGUAGGCCGCCUGUCAAGCGUGCUGUGAAACGCCGUGGCUCAACCACGGUCCUGCAGCGCGAACUGGCGGGCUUGAGUGUGCGGAAGGCACGCGGAAUUCGUGGUGUAGCGGUGAAAUGCUUAGAUAUCACGAAGAACUCCGAUUGCGAAGGCAGCCUGCUGGACUGUAACUGACGCUGAUGCUCGAAAGUGUGGGUAUCAAACAGG